ACCAAUGUUCAUAUACAAUGUUUGGGAUGGAGGAACUCAGCAUGACUACAUGUUUUGGAGCUUUCGGGCUCACAUUCCAUGCUUAGGAUGUUGACGAAAUGGCUUCAAUCGACCCGUCUUGAAACACGGACCAAGGAGUCCAACACGCAUGUGAGUAUUUGGGUGCAAACCCAAGUGCACAAUGAAAGUGAAAGUCGAGAACCCUGUCAUAGGGUGCAUUGACGCCCAGACCUGACCUUUUGUGAGGGAUCUGCGGUAGAGCAUGUGUGUUGGGACCCGAAAGAUGGUGAACUAUGCCUGAAUAGGGUGAAGCCAGAGGAAACUCUGGUGGAAGCUCGUAGCGAUUCUGACGUGCAAAUCGAUCGUUGAAUUUGGGUAUAGGGGCGAAAGACUAAUCGAACCAUCUAGUAGCUGGUUCCCGCCGAAGUUUCCCUCAGGAUAGCAGACACUCAUUGAAUCAGAUUUAUGUGGUAAAGCGAAUGAUUAGAGGCCUUGGGGUUGAAACAACCUUAACCUAUUCUCAAACUUUAAAUAUGUAAGAUGAAACUGUUUCUUGAUUGAACUGUUUCGCGAUUGAAGAGUGUCUAGUGGGCCAUUUUUGGUAAGCAGAACUGGCGAUGCGGGAUGAACCGAACGUGAGGUUAAGGUGCCGGAAUCUACGCUCAUCAGACACCACAAAAGGUGUUGGUUCAUCUAG
rnacentral:rRNA from 1 species